rnacentral:rRNA from 1 species
GACGAACGCUGGCGGCGUGCUUAACACAUGCAAGUCGAACGGAAAGGCCCUGCUUUUGUGGGGUGCUCGAGUGGCGAACGGGUGAGUAACACGUGAGUAACCUGCCCUUGACUUUGGGAUAACUUCAGGAAACUGGGGCUAAUACCGGAUAGGAUCUCCUGCUGCAUGGUGGGGGUUGGAAAGUUUCGGCGGUUGGGGAUGGACUCGCGGCUUAUCAGCUUGUUGGUGGGGUAGUGGCUUACCAAGGCUUUGACGGGUAGCCGGCAUGAGAGGGUGACCGGGCAAAUUGGGACUGAGAUACGGCCCAGAAGCCUACGGGAGGCAGCAGUGGGGAAUAUUGCACAAUGGGCGGAAGCCUGAUGCAGCAACGCCGCGUGCGGGAUGACGGCCUUCGGGUUGUAAACCGCUUUCGCCUGUGACGAAGCGUGAGUGACGGUAAUGGGUAAAGAAGCACCGGCUAACUACGUG